rnacentral:rRNA from 1 species
CCUACGGGUGGCAGCAGUGGGGAAUAUUGCACAAUGGGGGGAACCCUGAUGCAGCGACGCCGCGUGGGUGAAGGAGUACUUCGGUACGUAAAGCCCUAUCAGCAGGAAAGAAAAUGACGGUACCUGACUAAGAAGCCCCGGCUAACUACGUGCCAGCAGCCGCGGUAAUACGGAGGGGGCAAGCGUUAUCCGGAUUUACUGGGUGUAAAGGGAGCGGAGACGGCAGGGCAAGUCCGGAGUGAAAGCCCGGGGUUCAACCGGGGGACUGCUCUGGAACCUGGAAAGCUGGAGUGCGGGAGAGGAAGGUGGAAUUCCAGGUGUAGCGGUGAAAUGCGUAGAUAUCAGGAGGAACACCGGCGGCGAAGGCGGCCUGCUGGACCGUAACUGACGUUGAGGCUCGAAAGCGUGGGGAGCAAACAGGAUUAGAUACCCCUGUAGUC